rnacentral:tmRNA from 1 species
CCCCUUUCACUGAGGGCGGCGGGAGCCUAUAUUCAUCGAGCCGGCGCAAGCUGGAUAUGGCGAUAAAUGGUUGUCGUAAUAAGCCUAUCGGACCCGGGGGCAGUACCCGGCGCCUCCACCAAAGCCCGACCUCCACGCAAGUGGCGGCGGGCUCCGGCGGGGGCGAAACAGGAUCGACGAGGGUGUAAAGGACUUUCUUUCGCCCGGCAUGGUUCCGCCGUCAUCGGGCCGACCUAUAGUUGCGAAUGACAACUAUGCUCGGGUUGCUCAGGCCGCGUGAGCGGUUUGAAAACCUAAACAAAGUCCUCCCGGUUAGCACCGGAUAGGCGGGGUUCGGAGGCACCUGGCAACAGAAGCCUCCACU